rnacentral:tRNA from 1 species
AUCUGUUGGAGUUGUGGUUAGUGCGCUCGGCUAUAGAUCCGGGCGACGCGGGUUCGAUUCCCCCUGCCAGAUG